AAGUCGUAACAAGGUUUCCGUAGGUGAACCUGCGGAAGGAUCAUUCAUAAUAAGUGUUUUAUGGCACUUUAAAAAUCCAUAUCCACCUUGUGUGCAUUGUUUGAAUUCGGAUCUAUCUCUAUGAGGUAGUGAUGAUUCUCAAUUUUAAACCAAUUUAAAACUAGUUUGUCUGAUAAAAGUAUCUGGGAUUUACCUAAUUCUAAAAUACAACUUUCAACAACGGAUCUCUUGGCUCUC
rnacentral:misc_RNA from 1 species